UACGUAGGGACCUAGCGUUGUCCGGAAUCAUUGGGCGUAAAGCGCGCGUAGGCGGCCCGGUAAGUCCGUUGUAAAAGUCGAAGGCUCAACCUUCGAAAGCCGAUGGAUACUGCCGGGCUAGAGUCCGGAAGAGGCGAGUAGAAUUCCUGGUGUAGCGGUGAAAUGCGCAGAUAUCAGGAGGAACACCGGUGGCGAAGGCGGGUCUCUGGGCCGAAAUUGACGCUGAGGAGCGAAAGCGUGGGGAGCAAACAGG
rnacentral:rRNA from 1 species